rnacentral:tRNA from 1 species
UCCCUGGCAGUCCAGUGGCUAGGACUUGGAGCUUACACUGCAAGGGGCCUAGGUUCAAUCCCUGGUCAGGGAA